CGAUAGUGAAGCUAUUUUUAGGUGCUUAUGAAUAUCGCAAAAAUCUGCAUUCUGCAGCAUGUUGGAAUGGUUUUUUGAAAAUUACGUUUUUCUUUACUAGCCUUCAAAAUGAAACAUAUUUAGGCUUAUGUGUAGGCUUUAAUAGAAUAAGAUUCUAAUGGGAAUAUUAAUGUUUCAGCUGUAGAAUAUGGAUAUAAAUAAUGAUUGGGAUUCAGGAAAUCUUAUCCACAUACACUGAGGUAAAGACUACAAUCUGUGUCUAUCUAACAACAAGAAGCAUGUAAUUGUCUGUGCUACAACCUUAGCCCCUGACAGUCUGAUAGAGUUCCUGAAUGAGUUUUAUGGUAAUUCUACUUUAGAGAAUAGAGAUGCAAUUCUGCUAUGUCCCUGUGAGUUGGAAACCAGAAAGCAAGUCAUCUACUAGUGGUGUAAUAGAGUCAUAUACAUCAAGGGAUGAGCACUAAAAGAUGUGGACCUGAUGUGGUGUCAUGAAGCUUUUGCUUUCUUCUUUUGGCUGUUCGUUUAACACAAGACAAAGCACAGACUUCUUUGGACAUUUGUUUCUACAUGAGUGUGACAAGGGAACAGCACUCUAACUUAUCAAGAAAACUUUUGGCAAAUUCAGUUUUGAAAACCAAUCCAGUCGUCAAUGGUUAUCCACAGUACCAGGAGCCAUUCAAUCUUGCCCAGCAGACAGGCUCCCAUGAAGUACUUAGUGAUGGUCAAACAAAGUUUAUUAGACAAAUGGUUCUAGAGAAUCCAGUAGCUUGGUGGGAUUCUGAUCUGCAUAACAAAUCAAUUAGUGUUGUUGGUUCUUAUACUUGAUGUCAAACCUGAACUCAGUUCAAGAGAAGAGAAGAGAGCUACAGAAAGUGAAAGAGAGAAGAGAGCAGUAGAGAAAAAAGAGAAUCUACACUGGUAAACUGACAUCAAGUGACUUUUAUUUCACAGACUACUGCUUCUACCUGCUCUAGAGUAAAGAAAGAAGCUCGAGAUAGUCCUGACCAAUACCACAGCCAGGCACAGAUCAGACUGAGGACUCAGUUAGGCCCAAAACGCCCAAGGAGGAGAAAUUUAAGAAGUGUGACCGCAAAGACAGGGAAGCAACCAAGCUGGCCAAAGAGAAAGCCAAAGAAGAGAAGCGUGAGAGGAAAGAAUGUGAAGCCUUCGCCAAGGAGGAAGAGAGACAUUCAUCCAGGGUGAAAGACUACGAAGGGAGCAGUGCAAGCCACAACUUGAGCUCAUCCUCCCAAAGACAUAGUGCUGAGCCAUCACCCAAACAUUUGGAGGAAAAAGGAACAGUUUAAUGAAACAGAUGGAUCUCCAAAACUGAAGAUGAAAGAAAAGAGAGACAAAUCAUAUCCUUGAUCUAGGGACUGAGACUUGAUUAUGUAGUCAGCUGGGGCUUAAUUAUUUAGUCUUUAUGGUAAAUACUUUCUGGUCUUAAAGUUUCUAGUCAUCUUUCCAUUGCUAGAUACAUGAGUGAGGUGUGUAUAUUAAACAUUUCAAUUGGGAAUUAAACAUUUCAAUUGGGAAAGGUAGAAAAAAAAUCCAGUCACUUUAAAAAAAACAUAAAAAUCAGUUGGUCCUUCUCAUGUUUGAAUUCAAUAGUUUGUAAUAAUGGCAGUUUAACUUUAAAAUAGUCAUUAUGUUCAUCCAUCCCGGUGGGACUACAGCCCUUGGAGGGCCCUGACCUACUAUAGCACAUCUUUUCAUUCUGAUCUAUCCUGCUGUUCUAGAUCUGCCUCUACAUCGUCAAGCCACUGUACUGUGGCCUACCUUUGAGGUGCCUGCUUUUUGUUUGUUUUGUGAACAAUCUUUGCUGCUCCUCUGUUCUCUGACAUUCUUUCAAGGUGACCUGCCCAGCGUAAUCUGUUCCUUUUUAUUUCCGUCAUUAUGGAGGGGGGUCUUGGUAUAUUAGUGAUCAUAUUACUAAUUAGAGCCUAGAAAUAGAUAAUGUUGCCUCUUAGUACUUAAGUUAGUAAUCUGAUUGAAAGUGUAUAAUUUCCUUAACUUCUUCUCACAUGUUCCAAAAAACAGAAAAAAUAAAACCAGUUUGAUCUGGAUGUUUCCAGACUGCAGUCUCUUGUUGACUAUUGUUAGUUGGAUGGCAAUGUGCAGCUUUUUAAACCUUUUGUUUUCCCUUUUGAAACAUUGAUUUAUAUAUUUCUCAAACAUUUUUAGAUAGUAACAUAUGUUGAUCUGUAGAUCUAGUGUGGGUGAAUGUGUGAUAUCAUGUACAUUAGACUCUGGCCAUUCAGUUGGUUCUGUAAAAUUACAAAGUGACACUUUUUUUUUCUUGAUAUUGUUGACUUAUGAAUUAGAACUCAGGCUUUUGUUGAAACAGAUCUGCCUUCUGGUCAAAUUAUAUUGAGUCAUUUCUCCAGGUUCAAAACAGUUCAACUUAUGGACCAAGGUGUUGAGUUGAUCGUUUCACUUGUUCAAUUGAAAUCCUAUCCAGUCCUAGUUCAAAGUCUUAGUGUUAGUGGCAAGCAUUGCUUCCAGUCCUGUGGGAUCUACUGGAAGUGAACUCUAAAAUAUGACCAUUGUUGCUGUACACACAGAUUUCAUGUAUUUAUGUUUGCUUCAAAUUAAGGGUCUAAGUGACCUUGGUUGACUAUGUUGAUCAUUGAAUAAAUGGACUGACAUGUCCGCAGAUUAUA